rnacentral:rRNA from 1 species
ACGUAGGGGGCAAGCGUUGUCCGGAAUUAUUGGGCGUAAAGGGCGCGUAGGCGGCCUGGUAAGUCUGGAGUGAAAGUCCUGCUUUUAAUGUGGGAAUUGCUUUGGAUACUGUCGGGCUUGAGUGCAGGAGAGGUAAGUGGAAUUCCCGGUAUGGCGGUGUAAUGGGGAGAGACCGGGGGGGACACGAGUAGGGGAGGGGAGCAAACAGGAUGUAAUUGACGAUGAGUCGCGAGAGUGAGGACCGCAAACAU